GACCUUUGGACCACAGCCUUUCAGGAACUUCUUAAAGUCAUGUGCUCUACCAACUGAGCUAUGAAGGUGCUUACAGACACAAACGCAGAAAACAUAGUGGCUUCGGCGACAGACUUUGCCAACAAUACAAUUGGACCCACAUGGUCAAUGAAAAAGAUUGAACAGUGCAUAGACCAAUGAAAUCUGGUGUUUGGAGCAGGAGUUGAAGCAGCGACCUUUGGACCACAGCCUUUCAGGAACUUCUUAAAGUCAUGUGCUCUACCAACUGAGCUAUGAAGGUGCUUAUAGACACAAACGCAGAAAACAUAGUGGCUUCGGCGACAGACUUUGCCAACAAUACUAUUGGACCCACAUGGUCAAUGAAAAAGAUUAAACAGUGCAUAGACCAAUGAAAUCUGGUGUUUGGAGCAGGAGUUGAACCAGCGACCUUUGGACCACAGCCUUUCAGGAACUUCUUAAAGUCAUGUGCUCUACCAACUGAGCUAUGAAGGUGCUUAUAGACACAAACGCAGAAAACAUAGUGGCUUCGGCGACAGACUUUGCCAACAAUACAAUUGGACCCACAUGGUCAAUGAAAAAGAUUGAACAGUGCAUAGACCAAUGAAAUCUGGUGUUUGGAGCAGGAGUUGAACCAGCGACCUUUGGACCACAGCCUUUCAGGAACUUCUUAAAGUCAUGUGCUCUACCAACUGAGCUAUGAAGGUGCUUAUAGACACAAACGCAGAAAACAUAGUGGCUUCGGCGACAGACUUUGCCAACAAUACUAUUGGACCCACAUGGUCAAUGAAAAAGAUUGAACAGUGCAUAGACCAAUGAAAUCUGGUGUUUGGAGCAGGAGUUGAACCAGCGACCUUUGGACCACAGCCUUUCAGGAACUUCUUAAAGUCAUGUGCUCUACCAACUGAGCUAUGAAGGUGCUUAUAGACACAAACGCAGAAAACAUAGUGGCUUCGGCGACAGACUUUGCCAACAAUACUAUUGGACCCACAUAGUCAAUGAAAAAGAUUGAACAGUGCAUAGACCAAUGAAAUCUGGUGUUUGGAGCAGGAGUUGAACCAGCGACCUUUGGACCACAGCCUUUCAGGAACUUCUUAAAGUCAUGUGCUCUACCAACUGAGCUAUGAAGGUGCUUAUAGACACAAACGCAGAAAACAUAGUGGCUUCGGCGACACACUUUGCCAACAAUACUAUUGGACCCACAUGGUCGAUGAAAAAGGUUGAACAGUGCAUACACCAAUGAAAUCUGGUGUUUGGAGCAGGAGUUGAACCAGCGACCUUUGGACCACAGCCUUUCAGGAACUUCUUAAAGUCAUGUGCUCUACCAACUGAGCUAUGAAGGUGCUUACAGACACAAACGCAGAAAACAUAGUGGCUUCGGCGACAGACUUUGCCAACAAUACAAUUGGACCCACAUGGUCAAUGAAAAAGAUUGAACAGUGCAUAGACCAAUGAAAUCUGGUGUUUGGAGCAGGAGUUGAACCAGCGACCUUUGGACCACAGCCUUUCAGGAAGUUCUUAAAGUCAUGUGCUCUACCAACUGAGCUAUGAAGGUGCUUAUAGACACAAACGCAGAAAACAUAGUGGCUUCGGCGACAGACUUUGCCAACAAUACAAUUGGACCCACAUGGUCAAUGAAAAAGAUUGAACAGUGCAUAGACCAAUGAAAUCUGGUGUUUGGAGCAGGAGUUGAACCAGCUACCUUUGGACCACAGCCUUUCAGGAACUUCUUAAAGUCAUGUGCUCUACCAACUGAGCUAUGAAGGUGCUUAUAGACACAAACGCAGAAAACAUAGUGGCUUCGGCGACAGACUUUGCCAACAAUACUAUUGGACCCACAUGGUCAAUGAAAAAGAUUGAACAGUGCAUAGACCAAUGAAAUCUGGUGUUUGGAACAGGAGUUGAACCAGCGACCUUUGGACCACAGCCUUUCAGGAACUUCUUAAAGUCAUGUGCUCUACCAACUGAGCUAUGAAGGUGCUUAUAGACGCAAACGCAGAAAACAUAGUGGCUUCGGCGACACACUUUGCCAACAAUACAAUUGGACCCACAUGGUCAAUGAAAAAGAUUGAACAGUGCAUAGACCAAUGAAAUCUGGUGUUUGGAGCAGGAGUUGAACCAGCUACCUUUGGACCACAGCCUUUCAGGAACUUCUUAAAGUCAUGUGCUCUACCAACUGAGCUAUGAAGGUGCUUAUAGACACAAACGCAGAAAACAUAGUGGCUUCGGCGACACACUUUGCCAACAAUACAAUUGGACCCACAUGGUCAAUGAAAAAGAUUGAACAGUGCAUAGACCAAUGAAAUCUGGUGUUUGGAGUAGGAGUUGAACCAGCGACCUUUGGACCACAGCCUUUCAGGAACUUCUUAAAGUCAUGUGCUCUACCAACUGAGCUAUGAAGGUGCUUAUAGACACAAACGCAGAAAACAUAGUGGCUUCGGCGACAGACUUUGCCAACAAUACAAUUGGACCCACAUGGUCAAUGAAAAAGAUUGAACAGUGCAUAGACCAAUGAAAUCUGGUGUUUUGAGGUGGAGUUGAACCAGCGACCUUUGGACCACAGCCUUUCAGGAACUUCUUAAAGUCAUGUGCUCUACCAACUGAGCUAUGAAGGUGCUUAUAGACACAAACGCAGAAAACAUAGUGGCUUCGGCGACAGACUUUGCCAACAAUACAAUUGGACCCACAUGGUCAAUGAAAAAGAUUGAACAGUGGAUAGACCAAUGAAAUCUGGUGUUUGGAGCAGGAGUUGAACCAGCGACCUUUGGACCACAGCCUUUCAGGAACUUCUUAAAGUCAUGUGCUCUACCAACUGAGCUAUGAAGGUGCUUAUAGACACAAACGCAGAAAACAUAGUGGCUUCGGCGACAGACUUUGCCAACAAUACAAUUGGACCCACAUGGUCAAUGAAAAAGAUUGAACAGUGGAUAGACCAAUGAAAUCUGGUGUUUGGAGCAGGAGUUGAACCAGCGACCUUUGGACCACAGCCUUUCAGGAACUUCUUAAAGUCAUGUGCUCUACCAACUGAGCUAUGAAGGUGCUUAUAGACACAAACGCAGAAAACAUAGUGGCUUCGGCGACACACUUUGCCAACAAUACAAUUGGACCCACAUGGUCAAUGAAAAAGAUUGAACAGUGGAUAGACCAAUGAAAUCUGGUGUUUGGAGCAGGAGUUGAACUAGCGACCUUUGGACGACAGCCUUUCAGGAACUUCUUAAAGUCAUGUGCUCUACCAACUGAGCUAUGAAGGUGCUUAUAGACACAAACGCAGAAAACAUAGUGGCUUCGGCGACAGACUUUGCCAACAAUACUAUUGGACCCACAUGGUCAAUGAAAAAGAUUGAACAGUGCAUAGACCAAUGAAAUCUGGUGUUUGGAGCAGGAGUUGAACCAGCGACCUUUGGACCACAGCCUUUCAGGAACUUCUUAAAGUCAUGUGCUCUACCAACUGAGCUAUGAAGGUGCUUAUAGACACAAACGCAGAAAACAUAGUGGCUUCGGCGACAGACUUUGCCAACAAUACUAUUGGACCCACAUGGUCAAUGAAAAAGAUUGAACAGUGCAUAGACCAAUGAAAUCUGGUGUUUUGAGGUGGAGUUGAACCAGCGACCUUUGGACCACAGCCUUUCAGGAACUUCUUAAAGUCAUGUGCUCUACCAACUGAGCUAUGAAGGUGCUUAUAGACACAAACGCAGAAAACAUAGUGGCUUCGGCGACAGACUUUGCCAACAAUACUAUUGGACCCACAUGGUCAAUGAAAAAGAUUGAACAGUGCAUAGACCAAUGAAAUCUGGUGUUUGGAGGUGGAGUUGAACCAGCAACCUUUGGACCAGAGCCUUUAAGGAACUUCUUAAAGUCAUCUGCUCUACCAACUGAGCUAUGAAGGUGCUUAUAGACACAAACGCAGAAAACAUAGUGGCUUCGGCGACAGAUUUUGCCAACAAUACUAUUGGACCCACAUGGUCAAUGAAAAAGAUUGAACAGUGCAUAGACCAAUUAAAUCUGGUGUUUGGAGCAGGAGUUGAACCAGCGACCUUUGGACCAAAGCCUUUCAGGAACUUCUUAAAGUCAUGUGCUCUACCAACUGAGCUAUGAAGGUGCUUAUAGACACAAACGCAGAAAACAUAGUGGCUUCGGCGACAGACUUUGCCAACAAUACUAUUGGACCCACAUGGUCAAUGAAAAAGAUUGAACAGUGCAUAGACCAAUGAAAUCUGGUGUUUUGAGGUGGAGUUGAACCAGCGACCUUUGGACCACAGCCUUUCAGGAACUUCUUAAAGUCAUGUGCUCUACCAACUGAGCUAUGAAGGUGCUUAUAGACACAAACGCAGAAAACAUAGUGGCUUCGGCGACAGACUUUGCCAACAAUACUAUUGGACCCACAUGGUCAAUGAAAAAGAUUGAACAGUGCAUAGACCAAUGAAAUCUGGUGUUUGGAGCAGGAGUUGAACCAGCGACCUUUGGACCACAGCCUUUCAGGAACUUCUUAAAGUCAUGUGCUCUACCAACUGAGCUAUGAAGGUGCUUAUAGACAAAAACGCAGAAAACAUAGUGGCUUCGGCGACAGAUUUUGCCAACAAUACUAUUGGACCCACAUGGUCAAUGAAAAAGAUUGAACAGUGCAUAGACCAAUGAAAUCUGGUGUUUGGAGCAGGAGUUGAACCAGCGACCUUUGGACCACAGCCUUUCAGGAACUUCUUAAAGUCAUGUGCUCUACCAACUGAGCUAUGAAGGUGCUUAUAGACACAAACGCAGAAAACAUAGUGGCUUCGGCGACAGACUUUGCCAACAAUACAAUUGGACCCACAUGGUCAAUGAAAAAGAUUGAACAGUGCAUAGACCAAUGAAAUUUGGUGUUUGGAGCAGGAGUUGAACCAGCGACCUUUGGACCACAGCCUUUCAGGAACUUCUUAAAGUCAUGUGCUCUACCAACUGAGCUAUGAAGGUGCUUAUAGACACAAACGCAGAAAACAUAGUGGCUUCGGCGACAGACUUUGCCAACAAUACAAUUGGACCCACAUGGUCAAUGAAAAAGAUUGAACAGUGCAUAGACCAAUAAAAUCUGGUGUUUGGAGCAGGAGUUGAACCAGCGACCUUUGGACGACAGCGUUUCAGGAACUUCUUAAAGUCAUGUGCUCUACCAACUGAGCUAUGAAGGUGCUUAUAGACACAAACGCAGAAAACAUAGUGGCUUCGGCGACACACUUUGCCAACAAUACUAUUGGACCCACAUGGUCGAUGAAAAAGGUUGAACAGUGAAUACACCAAUGAAAUCUGGUGUUUGGAGCAGGAGUUGAACCAGCGACCUUUGGACCACAGCCUUUCAGGAACUUCUUAAAGUCAUGUGCUCUACCAACUGAGCUAUGAAGGUGCUUACAGACACAAACGCAGAAAACAUAGUGGCUUCGGCGACAGAUUUUGCCAACAAUACUAUUGGACCCACAUGGUCAAUGAAAAAGAUUGAACAGUGCAUAGACCAAUGAAAUCUGGUGUUUGGAGCAGGAGUUGAACCAGCGACCUUUGGACCACAGCCUUUCAGGAACUUCUUAAAGUCAUGUGCUCUACCAACUGAGCUAUGAAGGUGCUUAUAGACACAAACGCAGAAAACAUAGUGGCUUCGGCGACACACUUUGCCAACAUAACUAUUGGACCCACAUGGUCAAUGAAAAAGAUUGAACAGUGCAUAGACCAAUGAAAUCUGGUGUUUGGAGCAGGAGUUGAACCAGCGACCUUUGGACCACAGCCUUUCAGGAACUUCUUAAAGUCAUGUGCUCUACCAACUGAGCUAUGAAGGUGCUUAUAGACACAAACGCAGAAAACAUAGUGGCUUCGGCGACACACUUUGCCAACAUAACUAUUGCACCCACAUGGUCAAUGAAAAAGAUUGAACAGUGCAUAGACCAAUGAAAUCUGGUGUUUGGAGUAGGAGUUGAACCAGCGACCUUUGGACCACAGCGUUUCAGGAACUUCUUAAAGUCAUGUGCUCUACCAACUGAGCUAUGAAGGUGCUUAUAGACACAAACGCAGAAAACAUAGUGGCUUCGGCGACAGACUUUGCCAACAAUACAAUUGGACCCACAUGGUCAAUGAAAAAGAUUGAACAGUGCAUAGACCAAUGAAAUCUGGUGUUUGGAGCAGGAGUUGAACCAGCGACCUUUGGACCACAGCCUUUCAGGAACUUCUUAAAGUCAUGUGCUCUACCAACUGAGCUAUGAAGGUGCUUAUAGACACAAACGCAGAAAACAUAGUGGCUUCGGCGACAGACUUUGCCAACAAUACAAUUGGACCCACAUGGUCAAUGAAAAAGAUUGAACAGUGCAUAGACCAAUGAAAUGUGGUGUUUGGAGUAGGAGUUGAACCAGCGACCUUUGGACCACAGCCUUUCAGGAACUUCUUAAAGUCAUGUGCUCUACCAACUGAGCUAUGAAGGUGCUUAUAGACACAAACGCAGAAAACAUAGUGGCUUCGGCGACAGAUUUUGCCAACAAUACUAUUGGACCCACAUGGUCAAUGAAAAAGAUUGAACAGUGUAUAGACCAAUGAAAUCUGGUGUUUGGAGCAGGAGUUGAACCAGCGACCUUUGGACCACAGCCUUUCAGGAACUUCUUAAAGUCAUGUGCUCUACCAACUGAGCUAUGAAGGUGCUUAUAGACACAAACGCAGAAAACAUAGUGGCUUCGGCGACAGACUUUGCCAACAAUACAAUUGGACCCACAUGGUCAAUGAAAAAGAUUGAACAGUGCAUAGACCAAUGAAAUUUGGUGUUUGGAGCAGGAGUUGAACCAGCUACCUUUGGACCACAGCCUUUCAGGAACUUCUUAAAGUCAUGUGCUCUACCAACUGAGCUAUGAAGGUGCUUAUAGACACAAACGCAGAAAACAUAGUGGCUUCGGCGACAGACUUUGCCAACAAUACUAUUGGACCCACAUGGUCAAUGAAAAAGAUUGAACAGUGCAUAGACCAAUGAAAUCUGGUGUUUGGAACAGGAGUUGAACCAGCGACCUUUGGACCACAGCCUUUCAGGAACUUCUUAAAGUCAUGUGCUCUACCAACUGAGCUAUGAAGGUGCUUAUAGACACAAACGCAGAAAACAUAGUGGCUUCGGCGACACACUUUGCCAACAAUACAAUUGGACCCACAUGGUCAAUGAAAAAGAUUGAACAGUGCAUAGACCAAUGAAAUCUGGUGUUUUGAGGUGGACUUGAACCAGCGACCUUUGGACCACAGCCUUUCAGGAACUUCUUAAAGUCAUGUGCUCUACCAACUGAGCUAUGAAGGUGCUUAUAGACACAAACGCAGAAAACAUAGUGGCUUCGGCGACACACUUUGCCAACAAUACAAUUGGACCCACAUGGUCAAUGAAAAAGAUUGAACAGUGCAUAGACCAAUGAAAUCUGGUGUUUGGAGUAGGAGUUGAACCAGCGACCUUUGGACCACAGCCUUUCAGGAACUUCUUAAAGUCAUGUGCUCUACCAACUGAGCUAUGAAGGUGCUUAUAGACACAAACGCAGAAAACAUAGUGGCUUCGGCGACAGACUUUGCCAACAAUACAAUUGGACCCACAUGGUCAAUGAAAAAGUUUGAACAGUGCAUAGACCAAUGAAAUCUGGUGUUUUGAGGUGGAGUUGAACCAGCGACCUUUGGACCACAGCCUUUCAGGAACUUCUUAAAGUCAUGUGCUCUACCAACUGAGCUAUGAAGGUGCUUAUAGACACAAACGCAGAAAACAUAGUGGCUUCGGCGACAGACUUUGCCAACAAUACAAUUGGACCCACAUGGUCAAUGAAAAAGAUUGAACAGUGCAUAGACCAAUGAAAUCUGGUGUUUGGAGCAGGAGUUGAACCAGCUACCUUUGGACCACAGCCUUUCAGGAACUUCUUAAAGUCAUGUGCUCUACCAACUGAGCUAUGAAGGUGCUUAUAGACACAAACGCAGAAAACAUAGUGGCUUCGGCGACAGACUUUGCCAACAAUACAAUUGGACCCACAUGGUCAAUGAAAAAGAUUGAACAGUGCAUAGACCAAUGAAAUCUGGUGUUUGGAGCAGGAGUUGAACCAGCGACCUUUGGACCACAGCCUUUCAGGAACUUCUUAAAGUCAUGUGCUCUACCAACUGAGCUAUGAAGGUGCUUAUAGACACAAACGCAGAAAACAUAGUGGCUUCGGCGACACACUUUGCCAACAAUACAAUUGGACCCACAUGGUCAAUGAAAAAGAUUGAACAGUGCAUAGACCAAUGAAAUCUGGUGUUUGGAGCAGGAGUUGAACCAGCGACCUUUGGACCACAGCCUUUCAGGAACUUCUUAAAGUCAUGUGCUCUACCAACUGAGCUAUGAAGGUGCUUAUAGACACAAACGCAGAAAACAUAGUGGCUUCGGCGACAGAUUUUGCCAACAAUACUAUUGGACCCACAUGGUCAAUGAAAAAGAUUGAACAGUGCAUAGACCAAUGAAAUCUGGUGUUUGGAGCAGGAGUUGAACCAGCGACCUUUGGACCAAAGCCUUUCAGGAACUUCUUAAAGUCAUGUGCUCUACCAACUGAGCUAUGAAGGUGCUUAUAGACACAAACGCAGAAAACAUAGUGGCUUCGGCGACAGACUUUGCCAACAAUACUAUUGGACCCACAUGGUCAAUGAAAAAGAUUGAACAGUGCAUAGACCAAUGAAAUCUGGUGUUUGGAGCAGGAGUUGAACCAGCGACCUUUGGACCACAGCCUUUCAGGAACUUCUUAAAGUCAUGUGCUCUACCAACUGAGCUAUGAAGGUGCUUAUAGACACAAACGCAGAAAACAUAGUGGCUUCGGCGACAGACUUUGCCAACAAUACAAUUGGACCCACAUGGUCAAUGAAAAAGAUUGAACAGUGCAUAGACCAAUGAAAUCUGGUGUUUUGAGGUGGAGUUGAACCAGCGACCUUUGGACCACAGCCUUUCAGGAACUUCUUAAAGUCAUGUGCUCUACCAACUGAGCUAUGAAGGUGCUUAUAGACACAAACGCAGAAAACAUAGUGGCUUCGGCGACAGACUUUGCCAACAAUACUAUUGGACCCACAUGGUCAAUGAAAAAGAUUGAACAGUGCAUAGACCAAUGAAAUCUGGUGUUUGGAGGUGGAGUUGAACCAGCAACCUUUGGACCACAGCCUUUCAGGAACUUCUUAAAGUCAUGUGCUCUACCAACUGAGCUAUGAAGGUGCUUAUAGACACAAACGCAGAAAACAUAGUGGCUUCGGCGACAGAUUUUGCCAACAAUACUAUUGGACCCACAUGGUCAAUGAAAAAGAUUGAACAGUGCAUAGACCAAUUAAAUCUGGUGUUUGGAGCAGGAGUUGAACCAGCGACCUUUGGACCAAAGCCUUUCAGGAACUUCUUAAAGUCAUGUGCUCUUCCAACUGAGCUAUGAAGGUGCUUAUAGACACAAACGCAGAAAACAUAGUGGCUUCGGCGACAGACUUUGCCAACAAUACUAUUGGACCCACAUGGUCAAUGAAAAAGAUUGAACAGUGCAUAGACCAAUGAAAUCUGGUGUUUUGAGGUGGAGUUGAACCAGCGACCUUUGGACCACAGCCUUUCAGGAACUUCUUAAAGUCAUGUGCUCUACCAACUGAGCUAUGAAGGUGCUUAUAGACACAAACGCAGAAAACAUAGUGGCUUCGACGACACACUUUGCCAACAAUACUAUUGGACCCACAUGGUCAAUGAAAAAGAUUGAACAGUGCAUAGACCAAUGAAAUCUGGUGUUUGGAGCAGGAGUUGAACCAGCGACCUUUGGACCACAGCCUUCCAGGAACUUCUUAAAGUCAUGUGCUCUACCAACUGAGCUAUGAAGGUGCUUAUAGACACAAACGCAGAAAACAUAGUGGCUUCGGCGACAGACUUUGCCAACAAUACAAUUGGACCCACAUGGUCAAUGAAAAAGAUUGAACAGUGCAUAGACCAAUAAAAUCUGGUGUUUGGAGCAGGAGUUGAACCAGCGACCUUUGGACCACAGCCUUUCAGGAACUUCUUAAAGUCAUGUGCUCUACCAACUGAGCUAUGAAGGUGCUUAUAGACACAAACGCAGAAAACAUAGUGGCUUCGGCGACACACUUUGCCAACAUAACUAUUGGACCCACAUGGUCAAUGAAAAAGAUUGAACAGUGCAUAGACCAAUGAAAUCUGGUGUUUGGAGCAGGAGUUGAACCAGCGACCUUUGGACCACAGCCUUUCAGGAACUUCUUAAAGUCAUGUGCUCUACCAACUGAGCUAUGAAGGUGCUUAUAGACACAAACACAGAAAACAUAGUGGCUUCGGCGACAGACUUUGCCAACAAUACAAUUGGACCCACAUGGUCAAUGAAAAAGAUUGAACAGUGCAUAGACCAAUGAAAUCUGGUGUUUGGAGCAGGAGUUGAACCAGCUACCUUUGGACCACAGCCUUUCAGGAACUUCUUAAAGUCAUGUGCUCUACCAACUGAGCUAUGAAGGUGCUUAUAGACACAAACGCAGAAAACAUAGUGGCUUCGGCGACAGACUUUGCCAACAAUACUAUUGGACCCACAUGGUCAAUGAAAAAGAUUGAACAGUGCAUAGACCAAUGAAAUCUGGUGUUUGGAACAGGAGUUGAACCAGCGACGUUUGGACCACAGCCUUUCAGGAACUUCUUAAAGUCAUGUGCUCUACCAACUGAGCUAUGAAGGUGCUUAUAGACACAAACGCAGAAAACAUAGUGGCUUCGGCGACACACUUUGCCAACAAUACAAUUGGACCCACAUGGUCAAUGAAAAAGAUUGAACAGUGCAUAGACCAAUGAAAUCUGGUGUUUUGAGGUGGACUUGAACCAGCGACCUUUGGACCACAGCCUUUCAGGAACUUCUUAAAGUCAUGUGCUCUACCAACUGAGCUAUGAAGGUGCUUAUAGACACAAACGCAGAAAACAUAGUGGCUUCGGCGACAGACUUUGCCAACAAUACAAUUGGACCCACAUGGUCAAUGAAAAAGAUUGAACAGUGCAUAGACCAAUGAAAUCUGGUGUUUGGAGUAGGAGUUGAACCAGCGACCUUUGGACCACAGCCUUUCAGGAACUUCUUAAAGUCAUGUGCUCUACCAACUGAGCUAUGAAGGUGCUUAUAGACACAAACGCAGAAAACAUAGUGGCUUCGGCGACAGACUUUGCCAACAAUACAAUUGGACCCACAUGGUCAAUGAAAAAGAUUGAACAGUGCAUAGACCAAUGAAAUCUGGUGUUUUGAGGUGGAGUUGAACCAGCGACCUUUGGACCACAGCCUUUCAGGAACUUCUUAAAGUCAUGUGCUCUACCAACUGAGCUAUGAAGGUGCUUAUAGACACAAACGCAGAAAACAUAGUGGCUUCGGCGACAGACUUUGCCAACAAUACAAUUGGACCCACAUGGUCAAUGAAAAAGAUUGAACAGUGCAUAGACCAAUGAAAUCUGGUGUUUGGAGCAGGAGUUGAACCAGCGACCUUUGGACCACAGCCUUUCAGGAACUUCUUAAAGUCAUGUGCUCUACCAACUGAGCUAUGAAGGUGCUUAUAGACACAAACGCAGAAAACAUAGUGGCUUCGGCGACAGACUUUGCCAACAAUACAAUUGGACCCACAUGGUCAAUGAAAAAGAUUGAACAGUGCAUAGACCAAUGAAAUCUGGUGUUUGGAGCAGGAGUUGAACCAGCGACCUUUGGACCACAGCCUUUCAGGAACUUCUUAAAGUCAUGUGCUCUACCAACUGAGCUAUGAAGGUGCUUAUAGACACAAACGCAGAAAACAUAGUGGCUUCGGCGACACACUUUGCCAACAAUACAAUUGGACCCACAUGGUCAAUGAAAAAGAUUGAACAGUGGAUAGACCAAUGAAAUCUGGUGUUUGGAGCAGGAGUUGAACCAGCGACCUUUGGACCACAGCCUUUCAGGAACUUCUUAAAGUCAUGUGCUCUACCAACUGAGCUAUGAAGGUGCUUAUAGACAGAAACGCAGAAAACAUAGUGGCUUCGGCGACAGAUUUUGCCAACAAUACUAUUGGACCCACAUGGUCAAUGAAAAAGAUUGAACAGUGCAUAGACCAAUUAAAUCUGGUGUUUGGAGCAGGAGUUGAACCAGCGACCUUUGGACCAAAGCCUUUCAGGAACUUCUUAAAGUCAUGUGCUCUACCAACUGAGCUAUGAAGGUGCUUAUAGACACAAACGCAGAAAACAUAGUGGCUUCGGCGACAGACUUUGCCAACAAUACUAUUGGACCCACAUGGUCAAUGAAAAAGAUUGAACAGUGCAUAGACCAAUGAAAUCUGGUGUUUGGAGCAGGAGUUGAACCAGCGACCUUUGGACCACAGCCUUUCAGGAACUUCUUAAAGUCAUGUGCUCUACCAACUGAGCUAUGAAGGUGCUUAUAGACACAAACGCAGAAAACAUAGUGGCUUCGGCGACAGACUUUGCCAACAAUACAAUUGGACCCACAUGGUCAAUGAAAAAGAUUGAACAGUGCAUAGACCAAUGAAAUCUGGUGUUUUGAGGUGGAGUUGAACCAGCGACCUUUGGACCACAGCCUUUCAGGAACUUCUUAAAGUCAUGUGCUCUACCAACUGAGCUAUGAAGGUGCUUAUAGACACAAACGCAGAAAACAUAGUGGCUUCGGCGACAGACUUUGCCAACAAUACUAUUGGACCCACAUGGUCAAUGAAAAAGAUUGAACAGUGCAUAGACCAAUGAAAUCUGGUGUUUGGAGGUGGAGUUGAACCAGCGACCUUUGGACCACAGCCUUUCAGGAACUUCUUAAAGUCAUGUGCUCUACCAACUGAGCUAUGAAGGUGCUUAUAGACAGAAACGCAGAAAACAUAGUGGCUUCGGCGACAGAUUUUGCCAACAAUACUAUUGGACCCACAUGGUCAAUGAAAAAGAUUGAACAGUGCAUAGACCAAUGAAAUCUGGUGUUUGGAGCAGGAGUUGAACCAGCGACCUUUGGACCAAAGCCUUUCAGGAACUUCUUAAAGUCAUGUGCUCUACCAACUGAGCUAUGAAGGUGCUUAUAGACACAAACGCAGAAAACAUAGUGGCUUCGGCGACAGACUUUGCCAACAAUACUAUUGGACCCACAUGGUCAAUGAAAAAGAUUGAACAGUGCAUAGACCAAUGAAAUCUGGUGUUUUGAGGUGGAGUUGAACCAGCGACCUUUGGACCACAGCCUUUCAGGAACUUCUUAAAGUCAUGUGCUCUACCAACUGAGCUAUGAAGGUGCUUAUAGACACAAACGCAGAAAACAUAGUGGCUUCGGCGACAGACUUUGCCAACAAUACAAUUGGACCCACAUGGUCAAUGAAAAAGAUUGAACAGUGCAUAGACCAAUGAAAUCUGGUGUUUGGAGCAGGAGUUGAACCAGCGACCUUUGGACCACAGCCUUUCAGGAACUUCUUAAAGUCAUGUGCUCUACCAACUGAGCUAUGAAGGUGCUUAUAGACACAAACGCAGAAAACAUAGUGGCUUCGGCGACAGACUUUGCCAACAAUACAAUUGGACCCACAUGGUCAAUGAAAAAGAUUGAACAGUGCAUAGACCAAUAAAAUCUGGUGUUUGGAGCAGGAGUUGAACCAGCGACCUUUGGACGACAGCCUUUCAGGAACUUCUUAAAGUCAUGUGCUCUACCAACUGAGCUAUGAAGGUGCUUAUAGACACAAACGCAGAAAACAUAGUGGCUUCGGCGACACACUUUGCCAACAUAACUAUUGGACCCACAUGGUCAAUGAAAAAGGUUGAACAGUGCAUACACCAAUGAAAUCUGGUGUUUGGAGCAGGAGUUGAACCAGCGACCUUUGGACCACAGCCUUUCAGGAACUUCUUAAAGUCAUGUGCUCUACCAACUGAGCUAUGAAGGUGCUUACAGACACAAACGCAGAAAACAUAGUGGCUUCGGCGACAGAUUUUGCCAACAAUACUAUUGGACCCACAUGGUCAAUGAAAAAGAUUGAACAGUGCAUAGACCAAUGAAAUCUGGUGUUUGGAGCAGGAGUUGAACCAGCGACCUUUGGACCACAGCCUUUCAGGAACUUCUUAAAGUCAUGUGCUCUACCAACUGAGCUAUGAAGGUGCUUAUAGACACAAACGCAGAAAACAUAGUGGCUUCGGCGACACACUUUGCCAACAUAACUAUUGGACCCACAUGGUCAAUGAAAAAGAUUGAACAGUGCAUAGACCAAUGAAAUCUGGUGUUUGGAGCAGGAGUUGAACCAGCGACCUUUGGACCACAGCCUUUCAGGAACUUCUUAAAGUCAUGUGCUCUACCAACUGAGCUAUGAAGGUGCUUAUAGACACAAACGCAGAAAACAUAGUGGCUUCGGCGACAGACUUUGCCAACAAUACUAUUGGACCCACAUGGUCAAUGAAAAAGAUUGAACAGUGCAAUAGACCAAUGAAAUCUGGUGUUUGGAACAGGAGUUGAACCAGCGACCUUUGGACCACAGCCUUUCAGGAACUUCUUAAAGUCAUGUGCUCUACCAACUGAGCUAUGAAGGUGCUUAUAGACACAAACGCAGAAAACAUAGUGGCUUCGGCGACACACUUUGCCAACAAUACAAUUGGACCCACAUGGUCAAUGAAAAAGAUUGAACAGUGCAUAGACCAAUGAAAUCUGGUGUUUGGAGUAGGAGUUGAACCAGCGACCUUUGGACCACAGCGUUUCAGGAACUUCUUAAAGUCAUGUGCUCUACCAACUGAGCUAUGAAGGUGCUUAUAGACACAAACGCAGAAAACAUAGUGGCUUCGGCGACAGACUUUGCCAACAAUACAAUUGGACCCACAUGGUCAAUGAAAAAGAUUGAACAGUGCAUAGACCAAUGAAAUCUGGUGUUUGGAGCAGGAGUUGAACCAGCGACCUUUGGACCACAGCCUUUCAGGAACUUCUUAAAGUCAUGUGCUCUACCAACUGAGCUAUGAAGGUGCUUAUAGACACAAACGCAGAAAACAUAGUGGCUUCGGCGACAGACUUUGCCAACAAUACAAUUGGACCCACAUGGUCAAUGAAAAAGAUUGAACAGUGCAUAGACCAAUGAAAUGUGGUGUUUGGAGUAGGAGUUGAACCAGCGACCUUUGGACCACAGCCUUUCAGGAACUUCUUAAAGUCAUGUGCUCUACCAACUGAGCUAUGAAGGUGCUUAUAGACACAAACGCAGAAAACAUAGUGGCUUCGGCGACAGACUUUGCCAACAAUACAAUUGGACCCACAUGGUCAAUGAAAAAGAUUGAACAGUGCAUAGACCAAUGAAAUCUGGUGUUUGGAGCAGGAGUUGAACCAGCGACCUUUGGACCACAGCCUUUCAGGAACUUCUUAAAGUCAUGUGCUCUACCAACUGAGGUAUGAAGGUGCUUAUAGACACAAACGCAGAAAACAUAGUGGCUUCGGCGACACACUUUGCCAACAUAACUAUUGGACCCACAUGGUCGAUGAAAAAGGUUGAACAGUGCAUACACCAAUGAAAUCUGGUGUUUGGAGCAGGAGUUGAACCAGCGACCUUUGGACCACAGCCUUUCAGGAACUUCUUAAAGUCAUGUGCUGUACCAACUGAGCUAUGAAGGUGCUUAUAGACACAAACGCAGAAAACAUAGUGGCUUCGGCGACAGACUUUGCCAACAAUACAAUUGGACCCACAUGGUCAAUGAAAAAGAUUGAACAGUGCAUAGACCAAUGAAAUCUGGUGUUUGGAGCAGGAGUUGAACCAGCGACCUUUGGACCACAGCCUUUCAGGAACUUCUUAAAGUCAUGUGCUCUACCAACUGAGCUAUUAAGGUGCUUAUAGACACAAACGCAGAAAACAUAGUGGCUUCGGCGACAGACUUUGCCAACAAUACAAUUGGACCCACAUGGUCAAUGAAAAAGAUUGAACAGUGCAUAGACCAAUGAAAUCUGGUGUUUGGAGUAGGAGUUGAACCAGCGACCUUUGGACCACAGCCUUUCAGGAACUUCUUAAAGUCAUGUGCUCUACCAACUGAGCUAUGAAGGUGCUUAUAGACACAAACGCAGAAAACAUAGUGGCUUCGGCGACAGACUUUGCCAACAAUACAAUUGGACCCACAUGGUCAAUGAAAAAGAUUGAACAGUGCAUAGACCAAUGAAAUCUGGUGUUUGGAGCAGGAGUUGAACCAGCGACCUUUGGACCACAGCGUUUCAGGAACUUCUUAAAGUCAUGUGCUCUACCAACUGAGCUAUGAAGGUGCUUAUAGACACAAACGCAGAAAACAUAGUGGCUUCGGCGACAGACUUUGCCAACAAUACAAUUGGACCCACAUGGUCAAUGAAAAAGAUUGAACAGUGCAUAGACCAAUGAAAUCUGGUGUUUGGAGCAGGAGUUGAACCAGUGACCUUUGGACCACAGCCUUUCAGGAACUUCUUAAAGUCAUGUGCUCUACCAACUGAGCUAUGAAGGUGCUUAUAAAAACAAACGCAGAAAACAUAGUGGCUUCGGCGACACACUUUGCCAACAUAACUAUUGGACCCACAUGGUCGAUGAAAAAGAUUGAACGGUGCAUACACCAAUGACAUCUGGUGUUUGGAGCAGGAGUUGAACCAGCGACCUUUGGACCACAGCCUUUCAGGAACUUCUUAAAGUCAUGUGCUCUACCAACUGAGCUAUGAAGGUGCUUAUAGACACAAACGCAGAAAACAUAGUGGCUUCGGCGACAGACUUUGCCAACAAUACAAUUGGACCCACAUGGUCAAUGAAAAAGAUUGAACAGUGCAUAGACCAAUGAAAUCUGGUGUUUGGAGCAGGAGUCGAACCAGCGACCUUUGGACCACAGCCUUUCAGGAACUUCUUAAAGUCAUGUGCUCUACCAACUGAGCUAUGAAGGUGCUUAUAGACACAAACGCAGAAAACAUAGUGGCUUCGGCGACAGACUUUGCCAACAAUACAAUUGGACCCACAUGGUCAAUGAAAAAGAUUGAACAGUGCAUAGACCAAUGAAAUCUGGUGUUUGGAGCAGGAGUUGAACCAGCGACCUUUGGACCACAGCCUUUCAGGAACUUCUUAAAGUCAUGUGCUCUACCAACUGAGCUAUGAAGGUGCUUAUAGACACAAACGCAGAAAACAUAGUGGCUUCGGCGACAGACUUUGCCAACAAUACAAUUGGACCCACAUGGUCAAUGAAAAAGAUUGAACAGUGCAUAGACCAAUGAAAUCUGGUGUUUGGAGCAGGAGUUGAACCAGCAACCUUUGGACCACAGCCUUUCAGGAACUUCUUAAAGUCAUGUGCUCUACCAACUAAACUAUGAAGGUGCUUAUAAACAGAAACGCAGAAAACAUAGUGGCUUCGGCGACACACUUUGCCAACAUAACUAUUGGACCCACAUGGUCAAUGAAAAAUGUUGAACAGUGCAUACACCAAUGAAAUCUGGUGUUUGGAGCAGGAGUUGAACCAGCGACCUUUGGACAACAGCCUUUCAGGAACUUCUUAAAGUCAUGUGCUCUACCAACUGAGCUAUGAAGGUGCUUAUAGACACAAACGCAGAAAACAUAGUGGCUUCGGCGACAGACUUUGCCAACAAUACAAUUGGACCCACAUGGUCGAUGAAAAAGAUUGAACAGUGCAUAGACCAAUGAAAUCUGGUGUUUGGAGCAGGAGUUGAACCAGCGACCUUUGGACCACAGCCUUUCAGGAACUUCUUAAAGUCAUGUGCUCUACCAACUGAGCUAUGAAGGUGCUUAUAGACACAAACGCAGAAAACAUAGUGGCUUCGGCGACAGACUUUGCCAACAAUACAAUUGGACCCACAUGGUCAAUGAAAAAGAUUGAACAGUGCAUAGACCAAUGAAAUCUGGUGUUUGGAGCAGGAGUUGAACCAGCGACCUUUGGACCACAGCCUUUCAGGAACUUCUUAAAGUCAUGUGCUCUACCAACUGAGCUAUGAAGGUGCUUAUAGACACAAACGCAGAAAACAUAGUGGCUUCGGCGACAGAUUUUGCCAACAAUACAAUUGGACCCACAUGGUCAAUGAAAAAGAUUGAACAGUGCAUAGACCAAUGAAAUCUGGUGUUUGGAGCAGGAGUUGAACCAGCGACCUUUGGACCACAGCCUUUCAGGAACUUCUUAAAGUCAUGUGCUCUACCAACUGAGCUAUGAAGGUGCUUAUAGACACAAACGCAGAAAACAUAGUGGCUUCGGCGACAGACUUUGCCAACAAUACAAUUGGACCCACAUGGUCAAUGAAAAAGAUUGAACAGUGCAUAGACCAAUGAAAUCUGGUGUUUGGAGCAGGAGUUGAACCAGCGACCUUUGGAACACAGCCUUUCAGGAACUUCUUAAAGUCAUGUGCUCUACCAACUGAGCUAUGAAGGUGCUUAUAGACACAAACGCAGAAAACAUAGUGGCUUCGGCGACAGACUUUGCCAACAAUACAACUGGACCCACAUGGUCAAUGAAAAAGAUUGAACAGUGCAUAGACCAAUGACAUCUGGUGUUUGGAGCAGGAGUUGAACCAGCGACCUUUGGACCACAGCCUUUCAGGAACUUCUUAAAGUCAUGUGCUCUACCAACUGAGCUAUGAAGGUGCUUAUAGAGACAAACGCAGAAAACAUAGUGGCUUCGGCGACAGACUUUGCCAACAAUACAAUUGGACCCACAUGGUCAAUGAAAAAGAUUGAACAGUGCAUAGACCAAUGAAAUCUGGUGUUUGGAGCAGGAGUUGAACCAGCGACCUUUGGACCACAGCCUUUCAGGAACUUCUUAAAGUCAUGUGCUCUACCAACUGAGCUAUGAAGGUGCUUAUAGACACAAACGCAGAAAACAUAGUGGCUUCGGCGACAGACUUUGCCAACAAUACAAUUGGACCCACAUGGUCAAUGAAAAAGAUUGAACAGUGCAUAGACCAAUGAAAUCUGGUGUUUGGAGCAGGAGUUGAACCAGCGACCUUUGGACCACAGCCUUUCAGGAACUUCUUAAAGUCAUGUGCUCUACCAACUGAGCUAUGAAGGUGCUUAUAGACACAAACGCAGAAAACAUAGUGGCUUCGGCGACAGACUUUGCCAACAAUACAAUUGGACCCACAUGGUCAAUGAAAAAGAUUGAACAGUGCAUAGACCAAUGAAAUCUGGUGUUUUGAGGUGGAGUUGAACCAGCGACCUUUGGACCACAGCCUUUCAGGAACUUCUUAAAGUCAUGUGCUCUACCAACUGAGCUAUGAAGGUGCUUAUAGACACAAACGCAGAAAACAUAGUGGCUUCGGCGACAGACUUUGCCAACAAUACAAUUGGACCCACAUGGUCAAUGAAAAAGAUUGAACAGUGCAUAGACCAAUGAAAUCUGGUGUUUGGAGCAGGAGUUGAACCAGCGACCUUUGGACCACAGCCUUUCAGGAAGUUCUUAAAGUCAUGUGCUCUACCAACUGAGCUAUGAAGGUGCUUAUAGACACAAACGCAGAAAACAUAGUGGCUUCGGCGACAGAUUUUGCCAACAAUACAAUUGGACCCACAUGGUCAAUGAAAAAGAUUGAACAGUGCAUAGACCAAUGAAAUCUGGUGUUUGGAGCAGGAGUUGAACCAGCGCCCUUUGGACCACAGCCUUUCAGGAACUUCUUAAAGUCAUGUGCUCUACCAACUGAGCUAUGAAGGUGCUUAUAGACACAAACGCAGAAAACAUAGUGGCUUCGGCGACACACUUUGCCAACAUAACUAUUGGACCCACAUGGUCGAUGAAAAAGGUUGAACAGUGCAUACACCAAUGAAAUGUGGUGUUUUGAGGUGGAGUUGAACCACCGAUCUUUGCACCACAGCGUUUCAGGAACUUCUUACAGUCCUCUGCUCCACCAACUGAGCUAUGAAGGUGCCUUAUAGAUAGAAAAGCAGAAAACAUAGUGGCUUCAGCGACACACUUUGCCAACAUAACAAUCAAGCCACCUGUUCAAUGAAAAAGGUUGAACAGUGCAUACACCAGUGAAAUCUGGUGUUUGGAGCUGGAGUUAUACCAGCGACCUUUGGACCACAGCAUUUCAGGAACUUCUUACAGUCCUCUGCUCUACCAACUGAGCUAUGAAGGUCCUUAUAGACACAAACGCAGAAAACAUAGUGGCUUCGGCGACAAACUUUGCCAACACAACAAUCAAGCCACCUGGUCGAUGAAAAAGGUUGAACAGUGAAUAUACUAAUGAAAUCUGGUGCUUGGAGCAGGAGUUGAACCAGAGACCUUUGGACCACAGCGUUUCAGGUACUUCUUACAGUCCUCUGCUCUACCAACUGAGCUAUGAAGGUGCUUAUAGACAGAAACGCAGAAAACAUAGUGGCUUCGGCGACACACUUUGCCAAAAUAACUAUUGGACCCACAUGGUCGAUGAAAAAGGUUCAACAGUGCAUACACCAAUGAAAUCUGGUGUUUGGAGGUGGAGUUGAACCAGCGACCUUUGGACCACAGCGUUUCAAUACCUUCUUACAGUCUUGUGCUCUACCAACUGAGCUAUCAAGGUGCUUCCAACUCACAACUGCAGAAAACAUAGUGGCUGAGACAACACUUUGCCCACACAACUACUCAACCCACACGGUCAAUGAAAAGCCCAGCCCUACCUUCAGAACAGAGCUUCGCAGUUUGUACCCAACAGUCAUUGCCAGGGACCCACAACUGAUAAUAAGGACUUGUAGGCUGGGUGAAUAAAAAAAUUGAUGGUUGGAAAAGUAAUUAAGUGUUAUCUUGUUUGUGUUUUUACAUUUUGGAGGAGCUGAAAGAUGAGGACAAGGCUUGGCAUUAUUUCAAUGUGAAUAGACCCAGAACAUUGCUCACACCCAUUAAAAUUUAGGUGCUUGGAGGGGGAUUUGAACUAGCAACCUUGGAAUGAUAGCACUUCAUAAAGUCCUGUGCUCUACUAACUGAGCUUUCAAGGUGCUUCCAACUCACAACUGCAGAAAACAUAGUGGCUGAGACAACACUUUGCCCACAGAACUACUCAACCCACACGGUCAAUGAAAAGCCCAGCCCUACCUUCACAACAGAGCUUCGCAGUUUGUACCCAACAGUUAUUGCCAGGGACCCACAACUGAUUAUAAGGACUUGUAGGCUGGGUGAAUAAAAAAAUUGAUGGUUGGAAAAGUAAUUAAGUGUUAUCUUGUUUGUGUUUUUAGAUUUUGGAGGAGCUGACAGAUGAGGACAAGGUUUGGUAUUAUUUCAAUGUGAUUAGACCCAGAAGAUUGCUCAGACCAAUGAAAUGUAGGUGCUUCAAGCGGGAGUUGAACCAGGAAACUUGGAAUGACAGCACUUAAUACAGUCCUGUGCUCUACCAACUGAGGUAUCAAGGUGCUUCUAACUCACAACUGCAGAAAACAUAGUGGCUGAGACAACACUUUGCCCACACAACUACUCAACCCACACGGUCAAUGAAAAGCCCAGCCCUACCUUCAGACCAGAGCUUCGCAGAUUGUACCCAAUAGUCAUUGCCAGGGACCCAGAACUGAUAAUAAGGACUUGUAGGCUGUGUGAAUAAAAAAAUUGAUGGUUGGAAAAGUAAUUAAGUGUUAUCUUGUUUGUGUUUUUACAUUUUGGAGGAGCUGAAAGAUGAGGACAAGGCUUGGCAUUAUUUCAAUGUGAAUAGACCCAGAACAUUGCUCACACCAAUGAAAUGUAGGUGCUUCGAGCGGGAGUUGAACCAGCGAUCUUGGAAUGACAGCACUUCAUACAGUCCUGUGCUCUACCAACUGAGCUAUCAAGGUGCUUCCAACUCACAAUUGCAGAAAACAUAGUGGCUGAGACAACACUUUGCCCACACAACUACUCAACCCACACGGUCAAUGAAAAGCCCAGCCCUACCUUCAGAACAGAGCUUCGCAGUUUGUACCCAACAGUCAUUGCCAGGGACCCACAACUGAUAAUAAGGACUUGUAGGCUGGGU